rnacentral:lncRNA from 1 species
AAACGUAGUACCUCUGUUCAAGCUCAUCAGGUGGCUCACGUUAACAGAUUUGAGGCUCUUAAGAAUUAGGAUGACUGAGCUGUCAGAGCCACAUGUCCAUUGUCUAGAUUGUUCUUUAUGUUGUGUAUAAAGUAGAGAACCCUAGAGUGGUAUCUCUCAAGCAAUCCAUGAACAUUUUCAGUAUAUCUUUCUAAAUUGAUUCUCUCUUCUAUCACCUUCUCUAUUUAACCUACAGGAACCACUAUCUUUUACCACUCUUCUGAACCAUUACAAACACCAAUUGGAUCCAACAAAGCUCGGUGGCAAUAUCUUGUAUUGGGGUUCAAGCCUUUUUGGGGUUUCAUAUUAUUAUACAAACUUUUAGACUUUGUUUGUGCAAUUACUUGUUUAAAGUAAAUCGAUAUGUUUGUGCAUUUAAUGAUAGCGGCUGCUAUCUAUAUUAUUACCGUUUGAAAAUAUGAAUAGCAGUAUAAAUGAUAAUUGUUUUUAAACAUGGAUAGCAGUAUAAAAAACAAGCAUAAGUUCUUUUUAACAUGGA